rnacentral:pre_miRNA from 1 species
AGUGGGAUAGCUGGGUCAAAUGUUCCAUUCCAGGUUUUCUAAGGACUCUCCAUACUGCUUUCCAGAUUGGUUGUAUCAGUUUGCAGUCCCACCAGCAAA